rnacentral:misc_RNA from 1 species
AACGCACAUUGCGCCCCUUGGUAUUCCAUGGGGCAUGCCUGUUCGAGCGUCAUUUGUACCUUCAAGCUCUGCUUGGUGUUGGGUGUUUGUCUCGCCUCUGCGUGUAGACUCGCCUUAAAACAAUUGGCAGCCGGCGUAUUGAUUUCGGAGCGCAGUACAUCUCGCGCUUUGCACUCAUAACGACGACGUCCAAAAGUACAUUUUUACACUCUUGACCUCGGAUCAGGUAGGGAUACCCGCUGAACUUAA